UCUUCGGAGAGUUUGAUCCUGGCUCAGGAUGAACGCUGGCGGCGUGCCUAAUACAUGCAAGUCGAGCGAACUGAUUAGAAGCUUGCUUCUAUGACGUUAGCGGCGGAC
rnacentral:rRNA from 2 species